UGGGGAAUUUUGGACAAUGGGCGCAAGCCUGAUCCAGCCAUGCCGCGUGCAGGAAGAAGGCCUUCGGGUUGUAAACUGCUUUUGUCAGGGAAGAAAUCCUUUGGGCUAAUACCCCGGAGGGAUGACGGUACCUGAAGAAUAAGCACCGGCUAACUACGUGCCAGCAGCCGCGGUAAUACGUAGGGUGCGAGCGUUAAUCGGAAUUACUGGGCGUAAAGCGUGCGCAGGCGGCUUUGCAAGACAGAUGUGAAAUCCCCGGGCUCAACCUGGGAACUGCAUUUGUGACUGCAAGGCUAGAGUGCGGCAGAGGGAGAUGGAAUUCCGCGUGUAGCAGUGAAAUGCGUAGAUAUGCGGAGGAACACCGAUGGCGAAGGCAAUCUCCUGGGCCUGCACUGACGCUCAUGCACGAAAGCGUGGGGAGCAAACAGGAUUAGAUACCCUGGUAGUCCACGCCCUAAANGAUGUCAACUGGUUGUUGGACGGCUUGCUGUUCAGUAACGAAGCUAACGCGUGAAGUUGACCGCCUGGGGAGUACGGCCGCAAGGUUGAAACUUAAAUGAAUUGACGGGGUCAUAGCUGUUUCCU
rnacentral:rRNA from 1 species